AACCCCAGGUCAGGUGGGGCCACCUGCCGAGCUUAAGCAUAUCAAUAAGCGGAGGA
rnacentral:rRNA from 1 species